GGCGUGAGGGCCGGGCGGCCAGGCAAAGGUCUGCAAAACCUUUUAGACGGGUUCAACUCCCGUUCACGCCUCCA
rnacentral:tRNA from 1 species